rnacentral:rRNA from 1 species
AGGGUUUGAUCCUGGCUCAGAACGAACGCUGGCGGCAGGCCUCAUACAUGCAAGUCGAGCGGUCCUUCGGGACAGCGGCGAACGGGUUAGUAACGCGUGGGAACGUGCCCUUUAGUACGGAAUAGCCAUUGGAAACGAUGAUUAAUACCGUAUACGCCCCAAGGGGGAAAGAUUUAUCGCUAAAGGAUCGGCCCGCGUUAGAUUAGGUAGUUGGUAGGGUAAUGGCCUACCAAGCCGACGAUCUAUAGCUGGUUUGAGAGGAUGAUCAGCAACACUGGGACUGAGACACGGCCCAGACUUCUACGGAAGGCAGCAGUAGGGAAUCUUGGACAAUGGGCGAAAGCCUGAUCCAGCCAUGCCGCGUGAGUGAUGAAGGCCCUAGGGUUGUAAAGCUCUUUCGCCAGGGAAGAUAAUGACGGUACCUGGUAAAGAAACCCCGGCUAACUCCGUGCCAGCAGCCGCGGUAAUACGGAGGGGGUUAGCGUUGUUCGGAAUUACUGGGCGUAAAGCGCACGUAGGCGGAUUAAUAAGUCAGGGGUGAAAUCCCGAGGCUCAACCUCGGAACUGCCUUUGAUACUGUUAAUCUUGAGUUCGAGAGAGGUGAGUGGAAUUCCGAGUGUAGAGGUGAAAUUCGUAGAUAUUCGGAGGAACACCAGUGGC